GGGGGCGAUAUGGUUUCGACGGGGAGCUGUGACGACAAGGGUAGCGAGCCGAGAUCCCGCCGACCUCGUAAAACGGUGGAACGCACGAUAAGUGCCAACAACGAUUACGCUUACGCUGCUUAAAUAAAGUAGCCGUCCAAUCCGGGCUCAUCCUGGGAGACCGGUGCGGGCGUCAAAUAAACCAGGACGCUCUCAGGUCCAAUUCUCGGAGGACUUGAGCUAAGACUAUCGAGAUAGCCCUGGAGGAACUGGCGUUGGAGAGCCUCCAAGGCGAAACCAAAACCCUACGCUAUGCUCGUAGAAGCUCUUCGAGUUGCCUCUUCGGACGCGGGUUCGAUUCCCGCCGCCUCCACCA
rnacentral:tmRNA from 1 species